CUCCCCCAUUGUGCUUUUUCUGCUGAGUGCCUGCGGCCACUCAGGAAGGAUCCGGAGCAGCGGUCACCCUCAUGAUCUUUGAGUGAAUCUACAGGCUGAUACAGGUGUUGUGCCCUCAGCACAACACUCUCUGGCCAUUUAUUCUCCACUGGAAACUCUGGGAAGAAGGAUAUGCAAAGCAGCUUUCUGAUGCCACCUUUUGGAAGAACCAGUGAAAUCUUAACUCCAUUUACACAUCUGCCAUUGUGAACAAAAUAUUUUCCAAGGGCUUUGCAAUGUUGAACACAUUUUAAGAAAGAAAACUCUUAAUUAUAAAAAGUGGAGCAGUUUGCAAGGUGCUUAUCCUCCAUGACAUUCCCAGCAGACAGCUGAAGGCCCUGCAAUGCAUCUUUCUG